ACGGGUGAGUAACACGUGGGUAACCUGCCUCAUAGAGGGGAAUAGCCUUCCGAAAGGAAGAUUAAUACCGCAUAAGAUUGUAGUACCGCAUGGUAUAGCAAUUAAAGGAGUAAUCCGCUAUGAGAUGGACCCGCGUCGCAUUAGCUAGUUGGUGAGGUAACGGCUCACCAAGGCGACGAUGCGUAGCCGACCUGAGAGGGUGAUCGGCCACAUUGGGACUGAGACACGGCCCAGACUCCUACGGGAGGCAGCAGUGGGGAAUAUUGCACAAUGGGGGAAACCCUGAUGCAGCAACGCCGCGUGAGUGAUGACGGUCUUCGGAUUGUAAAGCUCUGUCUUCAGGGACGAUAAUGACGGUACCUGAGGAGGAAGCCACGGCUAACUACGUGCCAGCAGCCGCGGUAAUACGUAGGUGGCAAGCGUUGUCCGGAUUUACUGGGCGUAAAGGGAGCGUAGGUGGAUAUUUAAGUGGGAUGUGAAAUACUCGGGCUUAACCUGGGUGCUGCAUUCCAAACUGGAUAUCUAGAGUGCAGGAGAGGAAAGUAGAAUUCCUAGUGUAGCGGUGAAAUGCGUAGA
rnacentral:rRNA from 1 species